UAGAUUUGAAAAACCUCAUCUUUUGCAAAGAAUUUUUCCUGUAGUUUCUUAAUAAACUAUAGAGUCCCUCUAUGUUUUGCAGUCGUAGUGAGCGGUUGCCCUAGCAGGAAAUCGAGUUCUGCAUCUCAACUAACCUUGGAGCUCAGACACCCUAUACAAGUUACACCAGCCUCAAAGCUUCCUAGGACUUCAAAAUAAACAACCAAUUGGUGGGAGUGUUGGAGUUUUCAAUUCACCAUAAGUCUGCCAGCAGAAGGGAUCAUAUAGAUGGUUUUGUUCUUGAAUUGGUGUCAACUCAACAGAGGUUAAAGAAACAUCUACACAAGGAAGGCUAUCACUGCAGGCAAAGUGCACUGGCAUAACUGUGCUCUGGUGUUAUCCUUUCCUAGACUUCCAAUGCUGAUUCCAUGCCCUGGUCCACAGUUGACAUUGUGAACAUAAACAUUCGAGCAUCCAGUUUGUAUGGAAAUACAGUCAUCUCCUGCACAAUAGUUGGAAUUCAAAUACAGUGAGCCAACUUGGACCAUAUAUGUCAGUAAGUCUACAUAGUUUGUUUUACUUUUAUUUUUUGUCCAUUUGCAAUCAUUCCCCAACCCACCCCAAAGUUUAGGUAACUUGUAAUGGACCACUGGAUAUGCUAGCCUCAAUUGUGUGUGGAGGACUGAAGAGGAAUGUGAGGCAGAAGUUAUAAUUCCAAUAAGACAAGAGUGAUGGAAGAAAUGAAAAAACAAAAGCUCUUAUUUAUGGAACUGAGUACUCUAAAGUUGGAUGAUGCAGUGUUGAUUUUGCUGUUGACACGUGCCAUGCAGCUUAUGACUAGCAGGCAUUGGUAUUUUCCUUUUGUAGCUAUGUGUCCAAUCUGGUUGUGGAUAGGAUAAGAUAAUGCCACGCUCUUUUAAGAAUCAUAGAACAUGCAUAUAAAAGUUAUUUCAGUUUUCUUCUUUUUUGUCUUGAGUUUUCAUUUUCACUUUAAUUUUGUCCCUAUCAACUACAUUGUGCUCUUAAUAAAUUGUCAAAUGAAAGGGAAAUGUGGCACAAGUUGAUGAAAUUUUACCGCAUGCCAUAGUGCUGCCAUAUAUCAGUACAUCUUUGGAGUUCUGAAGGUGAAUUCCAUCUGUGUUAGGACUGUUCCCAGGGGAUGAUAUGCUCACAUUGUGGACCAGAACCCCAUUGCAGUUGUCAAACUUGAGGUGGCAUUGUGGGCUAUUUAGAAUUGUUAUGCCUGUAACUGUUGGGUUAAAACUCCCAUAGAAGCGUAGUGCCUGUGCAAAAAGAAAUCACCUCCAUUAUAUUCCAAUAAUAACUCCUAAACAUGAAUCAAAUUGGUUCUGUGAAAGGUUUAAGAUGGUCCUCACAGUUGGCUUGACAGAUGGCAUUUUUCCUCCCAGCUCACUUUGAAUCUAGUACAAUCACGCAGGUAUAGAAGGCUCAGAAUGACAGAAAUGUUGAUGUUAUUUUCUGAUGCCACAUCACAUUCGGCUCAUGAACACACUAGUGGGAUAUGUUACCUGGAAAACGAUGUUGGGUUUACAGUAUGGGCCCGAGAAUGAAAUGGGCCCCACAAAGAAGACGUAGUCUGGUGGAAUCACCAUGGUUGAUGCCUCUACUUUGCAAGCUUCAGCCCAAGCCGCUUGAAAUGCCUG